UGUCUAAGUAUGAACUGGUUUAAGGUGAAACUGCGUACGGCUCAUUACAUCAGCUAUAACUUUCUUUGAUCAUAAAUUCUAAAUGGAAUAACCGAGGAAAAGCCUGGGCUAAUACAUGCGACAAUUCCGGUAGUAAUAUCGGAAUGCUUUUAUUAGAUCAAAACCUUCUAGUUCUUUACGGAACUGUUUGUUGGUGACUCUAAAUAACUUUGUGUUGAUCGUAUGACCUUUGUGUCGACGACAUAUCUUUCAAGUGUCUGACUUAUCAACUUUAGACGGUACAUUAUAUGUCUACCGUGGUUGUAACGAGUACAGAGAAUCAGGGUUUGGUUCUGGAGAGGCCGCCUGAGAAACGGCGACCACUUCCAAGGAAGGCAGCAGGCGCGCAAAUUACCCACUCUCAAAACGAGGAGGUAGUGAAGAGAAAUAACGAUGUUAGUCUAUUAUAGGCUGACAAUCGGAAUGGGAACACUGUAAAAAGGUUAUCGAUUAACAAUUGGAGGGCAAGUCUGGUGCCAGCAGCCGCGGUAAUUCCAGCUCCAAUAAGGAAAACUAAAGUUGCUGUGUUUAAAAAGCUCGUAGUUGAAUUUCGGGUAUUUGUUGCUAGCUGGUCUAACUGGCCAUGUUGGUUAACAGAUCCUCAUUUGCUGGACGGCUGGCGAUGAUCUUUAUCGAUUGUCGUCAGUUGCCAGAACGUUUACUUUGAGAAAAUUAGAGUGCUAAAAGCAGGCUCACGCCUAUAUAUAUUGCAUGGAAUAAUGAAAUAAGAUCUCGAUUUUAUUUCGUUGGUUUUAGAAAUUGAGAUAAUGAUUAAUAGGAUCAGAGGGGGGCGUACGUACUGUGGUGUGAGAGGUGAAAUUCUUGGAUCGCCACAGGACGAACAGCAGCGAAGGCGUUCGCCAAGAAUGUUUUCAUUAAUCAAGAACGAAAGUUUGAGGUUCGAAGACGAUUAGAUACCGUCCUAGUUCAAACCAUAAACGUUGCCAACUGUCUUUUAGAUGCGGUUAUUUAUAUGACUCAUCUGGCGGAUCUCGAGAAAUCUAAGUUUUUAGGUUCCGGGGGAAGUAUGGUUGCAAAGCUGAAACUUAAAAGAAUUGACGGAAGGACACACAAGAAGUGGAGCCUGUGGCCUAAUUUGACUCAACACGGGAAACCUUACUCGGCCAGGACACUUUUAGGAUUGACAGAUUGAGAGCUCUUUCUUGAUUAGGUGGGUGGUGGUG
rnacentral:rRNA from 1 species